rnacentral:lncRNA from 13 species
CCCUGUGUCUCUUGGCUCAUCAACAUAGCAGCAUAAGAAAACGCAUAUGGUCUCAUGUCAGGGUAACUACGCCAUGAAGCUAAGUGGCCUCAGAAACAGCUCUCGGCCCUAUGCUGUGACUCAUGCAUUUAUUUAAGUUACACAGUUUAUGGAGAGAUCAAUGUGUCAGGCAUAGUGAUAAGCACAGAAGCCACAAACCAGGCCUCCCAGACCUUGUCCCCGACUCUGUCCUCAGCUCUGGGUCUGACCCCUGCAGAAAGUACGCUGCAUUGGAUCACUGAAAAGCACCCAGCACUUUGGGAGGCCGAGGCGGGUGGAUCACGAGGUCAAGAGAUCGAGACCAUCCUGGUCAACAAGGUGAAACCCCGUCUCUACUAAAAAUACAAAAAAAUUAGCUGGGCAUGGUGGCGCGUGCCUGUAAUCCCAGCUACUUGGGAGGCUGAGGCAGAGAAUUGCUUGAACCCAGGGGGCAGAGGUUGCGGUGAGCCGAGAUCACGCCAUUGCACUCCAACUUGAGUAACAAGAGUGAAAUUCUUGUUUCACUCUUGUUGAAACAAGUGAAACAAGAUUCCGGUCAUCUCAAUCUCUUCCUCUUACAAGAAAGCCCAAUUCAAUUAAAAUUGAACCAGCCCAGCACAGUGGUUCACAUCUGUAAUCCCAGACUUUGGGAAGCUGAGGUGAGAGGAUCACCUGAGCUCAGGAAUCUGAGACCAGCCUGGCCAACAUGAUGAAACCCGGUCUCCACUAAAAAUGCAAUAAUUAGUCAUCCAUCGUGGUAGGCACCUGUAAUCCCAGCUACUCAGAGGCUGAGGAAGGAGAAUCUCUUAAAUCCAGGAAGCUGAGGUUUCAGUGAGCCGAAAUUAUGUCACCGCGCUCCAUGGGUGACAGAGUGAGACUCCAUCUAAAAAAAAAACGGACUAGAUAAUCUGGAUCUUAUACUAGAAGAAAAAACCCCAAAUAUUCCCAAGCUAAAGUCAUCUAGGGACCCACUGUUUUGGGUGGUGGCAUCUAAUUAUGGUUUGAACCAAUUUGAGAAAAAAAAAUCUGUGUUUUAGGGAGUUUCCCAUUGGAGGUGAGAACCCUACACCAGCUACUUGGCCAUCCCCUGAGAGUUCAUCUGCCAGGCAGAGACUCAGACCCCACCCGUCCUGCUGAGCCCAAAUCUGCCUUUCAACAUGACUGGUGGGUAAUCACUGUGUGUGUUAAA